UAAAGAAAGUAAGAGUUUGACACUAAAAUAAAACCUGAUAUGGUUACGGCAAUUCAUGUAAUUUUGCAACAUUUCAGAAUUACCUUAAACAUUCCUACACUGAACUACUGUACUCCUUCCAAAAAUAUUACACCUAUGCCAAAUGAAACAUAUUAAUAUGACUUAUUAAUAAAAAUUGACUACUACAAAAGAGGUACAACCUUGAUGUUGUAAAGGGUUUAAGUACGUAAAUAAUUGAGAUAUUAAUCCUCUUGUUUUUCUCUUAAAGCGACGAAAUUGGCAUCUACUCAUCGAUACUCGUUGCUUGCAGCAAUAAUAUAGCAACAGUCAAACUAAUUGAAAGUUCUCUCCCAACUCCUCAUCAUGGCUCCUUAUCAGAGGCUGACCCUCAGCCAAAAACUCGACAGCGAACAAAAAAAGAAAAUGUCAAUGAUCAACAACCUGAACUUCCCUCCGCCCAAAUCUCUGAAAAGGAUGAUAUAUCUCUACAAAGUUCAAAACCAGAGACACUACUGGGGAAGAAUGCACUAGAGGUCCUCCCUCAAAUCAAAUGCAAAGAGCAUCAAAUUUGGGUCUGAACCACAGCAGGGUUGAGCAAUACUCUUCGGAAAAGCAGAUUCAAUUUCUUGUGGAACAAUGCACUCCGCACUUGGCACUCAAGAUGAGCAAUUUGGACCAACUUCAAAUUCAACUUCAACCUCCGAAAAAUGGAUCACACAGACUUCAGGCACUGUUCAAGACUGCUGACAUGCCUGGAUCAGAGAGAACCAAAGUUAAAAUGAAGUUGGACCGCCAAGAACUCACCCCAUCAAGAGUUUCGUCUUGCUCACUUACGUCUCAUAUAACAGCACCUUCGUUGAAAUCUUAG
rnacentral:lncRNA from 1 species